CGGCCUUCUCAGUGUGGAAGAUGACUCCCCACGGCUGCCCUGGGUUCCCCAAGAACACGAAAGACCUUGAAUCCGGUGAUCCCAGGGAUGCAGGCAGCAGGACAGAGCCCUAGGCAGAGCCUGCCCUCCUCGGAGAGUUCAUACCAAGGACCUUUGUGUUUCCAGGGCUGGUGUGUUGGGAGCCGCGCCCACAUUCGCCGUUACAAGAUGGCGCUGACAGCUGUGUUCUAAGUGGUAAACAAAUAAUCUGCGCAUGUGCCAAGGGUAUCUUAUGACUACUUGUGCUCUGCCUUCCCCGUGACGUCAACUCGGCCGAUGGGCUGCAGCCAAUCAGGGAGUGACACGUCCGAGGCGAAGGAGAAUGCUCCUUAAGAGGGACGGGGUUUCGUUCUCUCUCUCUCUUGCUUUUUCGCUCUCUUGCUUUUCUCUCUCUCUUGCUUUUUCGCUCUCUUGCUUCUCGCUCUCUCUUGCUUCUUGCUCUCUUGCUUCUUGCACUCUGCUCCUGAAGAUGUAAGAAUAAAGC
rnacentral:lncRNA from 1 species